rnacentral:rRNA from 1 species
GACGAAAGCUGGCGGCGUGCUUAACACAUGCAAGUCGAACGGAAAGGCCCCUUUGGGGGUACUCGAGUGGCGAACGGGUGAGUAACACGUGAGUAACCUGCCCUUGACUUCGGGAUAACUUCAGGAAACUGGGGCUAAUACCGGAUAGGAAUCCUUGCUGCAUGGUGGGGGUUGGAAAGCUUCGGCGGUUUUGGAUGGACUCGCGGCUUAUCAGCUUGUUGGUGGGGUAGUGGCUUACCAAGGCUUUGACGGGUAGCCGGCCUGAGAGGGCGACCGGCCACAUUGGGACUGAGAUACGGCCCAGACUCCUACGGGAGGCAGCAGUGGGGAAUAUUGCACAAUGGGCGGAAGCCUGAUGCAGCAACGCCGCGUGCGGGAGGACGGCCUUCGGGUUGUAAACCGCUUUCAGCAGGGGCGAAGCUUGUGGUGACGGUACCUGCAGAAGAAGCACCGGCUAACUACGUG